CGCUGGUCCGAUGGUAGUGGGUUAUCAGAACUUAUUAACAUUAAUGUCAUUAAAGUUGGUAUACAACCCCCCACUGCUAAAUUUGACUGGCUUAA
rnacentral:Y_RNA from 1 species